GCACGUACAAAGGGCUGCCCAGGGAGACCGGUCACGUGUGAAUUGUAAGCAAGGGGGCAGGUAUGCUCAGCACCGAGCACGCUGUCACAGCCCCGCCAUGCCCCACGCUGAAAUAGGUGGAAGGUCAAGAUUAAGUCUUGCAGAGGGGAUCUUCGCACUGCACUGCUCCCAUCGGAAACAUGACCAAGAGGUGACAGCACGGCUGCUGUAGGUCCCACGCUGCCCGGAGGAGGAAAUGAACUUGGACACCUGCCUGGCACACAGCAGUGCUUCCAGCAAAUCUGCCCAGCGCCCACGCGAGGGCAUGGAUGUGUCGCGCUUCCAGGGUCGUACCCUAAUGGGGUCCUGGCCGCCGGUGCCCU